rnacentral:lncRNA from 1 species
GGUCUCUAUCACUUAUGGUUUACCAGUUAGAAAUGCAAAUCACUUAUAUCAAAUACAUAAGGGAGAAUAACUCUCAUAUGGAGUCUCCGGAUAGCUUCGGUCAAAACUAAACUCCUAAUCCUGAAGAUGUUACGAGCAAUUUGGUAAAAUAAAUUUGUCGUAAUCUUUUACGGUUGCAAAGAAGUAGUGGCCACAAGAAAAACAGUGUUUGGGGAGAUAACUCUUACUACGCAAAGUAUUUAGUUAAGAGGUUGUCAGUUUUAAAGCGUAUAAACUAUACGAUAUCAUAUUCCAAAUAUCUAAGCGACAUCUUUUGAAACAACAAAAUUACGCAAGAAAAAAAUUAGGCGGAAGAAAAAAAAUAAGAAAAUAAUAAUAAUAAUAAUAAUCAGAAC